AUGGAGAUUGGCAAAAGAGCCGCAAAGUCAGCUAGCAUGAUUCUCAAGGCAAAGUAUCAUCAUGAUACAUCCAUUUGGAGAGCCCGGCCGAACAAACCUAAAUCUGCCUUUUGGUCUGCAAUUCUAAAGGUAAAGCCUCUUCUAAUCUCAGCCACAAUUUGCCAAAUUGUUGAUGGUGCUAGUUCUAUUUGGAGCUCGCCUUGGUUUUCCGGAUGGGAAACUAUUUAUGAUCAUUUUAUCAUUCAGCAACAAUCUUUUUCUUACCCUGCACAAGUUAAAGAUCUUUGGAUACCGGGUCAAAAGAACUGGAAUGCAAACUUGAUUAAUUCUCUUUUCACUCCUGAAUUGGCUAAUACCAUUCUACAAACUCCUAUUAUUAAGGCAAAUGGUAAGGAUAUGUUGGUUUGGAAACUAACUCCUGCAGGUGAAUUCUCUUCCAAAAGUGCUUACAAGCACUGCUUCAACAAUCUUCAGCUUCCACCAAGGCAAAGGCCCAAAAUUGUCCCUAUGCAGGUCAUUUCCCUUCUUAAUCAGGUGUGGGAGGAUAAGCAAAUGGCACCAAGAGUUCAGACAUUUGCUUGGAGGCUUCUUAGGAAAGCACUUCCUACAGGUAAGAGGGCAAGUAGGUACUCCAAACAUAUCAAUGAAAACUGCUCUAGAUGUGGACUAUUAGAAGAUGAAAUGCAUAUGUUGUUUCUCUGUCCUUUUUCUAAAGCUGCAUGGUUUUGCUAUCCCUGGUUUAUUAAAACGGAAUCUCUGGCUGAAAAUUAUCAUUCUAUUCCUGAUAUGAUUCGUGCUUUGAUUACAUCUCAACAUCCAAAAGUAAACUUGACUACUCUCUAUACUUUUCUAUGGUGUCUUUGGAAAGCUCGGAACGACUGUCUAUUUUGCAGCAAAUUAUGCAAGCCUUCCCAGGUGUAUGCUUCAGCAAAUGCAAUAAUUGAAGCAACCAAUUUAGAACAUAAGAACUUCGCUCAGCAACAAGAAAGCGAUAAAGCUCAGGAGCAGUUGCAGGCUUCUUCAACAAUCACGCAUACACAUGACUGUAAUAACCUUACAGGGAAUGUCAUCUUUUGCGACGCAGCCUGGGAGAGACGCACAGAUUCAGAGCUGGGCCAUGCUGGCUUAGGAGUAAUCAUCACCAUGCAAGACAAUCGGCACCUCCAACGACUACACGUCUCUGCGCUUUCGCCUCCAGUUUCAUCACCCCUCCAGGCUGAGACUUAUGGGCUGCUACUAGCUACUAAGUUAGCAGAUCUUCUGCAGGUUCAGAACCCUCACUUUUGCACCGACUGCUCGGUGUUAGUUUCGGCGGCAAGGUCAUCAACGGUAUUUGCUGCUCCAGGAUGUUGGGAGAACAGACCUCUCCUUGCAGAGAUCCAAGCCUCUCCCUCUUUUAGUCGUAACAAGAUCACUCACAUCAACAGAAGCAACAAUGUAAAAGCUGAUCAUCAAGCUCGAUUAGCUUUGCGGAUUCAGUCAAGGUCCUUAGCUCUUCGUUGCUUAUGUACACAAGCAGAUCAAGGUCAAUGUCCCGGAAAGGACAUAGUUUCUGGUUCUAGCAUGAGUCCCUUCAUGCUUCUUUCUGUAAAAUGCACCUGA
rnacentral:rRNA from 1 species